rnacentral:lncRNA from 1 species
UCUUGAAGAUAAUAAACAACUAAAUUUUUCUUACACGAAAAAUCCUGAAUAUUUUAAAACCACCUUUUUCUUCAUUUAUAAAUAUAUAUACAUGCACACACUAUGGAAGAAACACAAAUUGCGAGGGUUUUGGAUUUAUUUAAUUUAAAAAAAAAAUGAUAUGGGUUAUAUUGAUAAGCAAGAGCUCAUAACAAUACUGAAAUCUUUAGGAUGACAAAAUAAAUACGAUCAUUUUAAAAAAGUUAUUGUGUGAACAUGGAAACAAGUUCACAGAAGAAGAGUUUAAAAAAUUUCUUGUUGAUGUUCCAGUAGACGACGAUGGGAACAUAAGCCACUCUGAUUUCAUUGAAACCUUUUCUAAGUACGUCGAAUACUAAAAACAAAAUACACAGUCGUCAGGAAUAAAAAAUUAAAAAUAAGAAAAAAACA